rnacentral:rRNA from 1 species
AUCCUGGCUCAGAUUGAACGCUGGCGGCAGGCCUAACACAUAGGCAAGUCGAGUCGGAUGAAUGGAGCUUGCUCCAUGAUUCAGCGGCGGACGGGUGAGUAAUGCCUAGGAAUCUGCCUGGUAGUGGGGGACAACGUUUCGAAAGGAACGCUAAUAUACCGCAUACGUCCUACGGGAGAAAGUGGGGGAUCUUCGGACCUCACGCUAUCAGAUGAGCCUAGGUCGGAUUAGCUUUAGUUGGUGAGGUAAAGGCUCACCAAGGCGACGAUCCGUAACUGGUCUGAGAGGAUGAUCAGUCACACUGGAACUGAGACACGGUCCAGACUCCUACGGGAGGCAGCAGUGGGGAAUAUUGGACAAUGGGCGAAAGCCUGAUCCAGCCAUGCCGCGUGUGUGAAGAAGGUCUUCGGAUUGUAAAGCACUUUAAGUUGGGAGGAAGGGCAGUAAGUUAAUACCUUGCUGUUUUGACGUUACCAACAGAAUAAGCACCGGCUAA